rnacentral:rRNA from 1 species
AUUGAACGCUGGCGGCGUGCUUAACACAUGCAAGUCGAUCGGUAACAGGUGUAGCAAUACAUGCUGACGAGAGGCGGACGGGUGAGUAAUGCUUGGGAAUCUGCCUAUUAGUGGGGGACAACCCGGGGAAACUCGGGCUAAUACCGCAUACGCUCUACGGAGGAAAGCCGGGGACCGCAAGGCCUGGCGCUAAUAGAUGAGCCCAAGUCGGAUUAGCUAGUUGGUAGGGUAACGGCCUACCAAGGCGACAAUCCGUAGCUGGUCUGAGAGGACGACCAGCCACACCGGAACUGAGACACGGUCCGGACUCCUACGGGAGGCAGCAGUGGGGAAUAUUGGACAAUGGGGGCAACCCUGAUCCAGCGACGCCGCGUGGGUGAAGAAGGCCUGCGGGUUGUAAAGCCCUUUCGGUGGGGAAGAAAAGUCUCGACCUAAUACGUCGGGACCUUGACGUAACCCACUAAAGAAGCACCGGCUAACUCUGU